UCCAGAGUUUGAUCCUGGUCAGAACGAACGCUGGCGGCAGGCCUAACACAUGCAAGUCGAGCGGUAGCACAGAGAGCUUGCUCUCGGGUGACGAGCGGCGGACGGGUGAGUAAUGUCUGGGAAACUGCCUGAUGGAGGGGGAUAACUACUGGAAACGGUAGCUAAUACCGCAUAACGUCGCAAGACCAAAGUGGGGGACCUUCGGGCCUCAUGCCAUCAGAUGUGCCCAGAUGGGAUUAGCUGGUAGGUGGGGUAACGGCUCACCUAGGCGACGAUCCCUAGCUGGUCUGAGAGGAUGACCAGCCACACUGGAACUGAGACACGGUCCAGACUCCUACGGGAGGCAGCAGUGGGGAAUAUUGCACAAUGGGCGCAAGCCUGAUGCAGCCAUGCCGCGUGUGUGAAGAAGGCCUUCGGGUUGUAAAGCACUUUCAGCGGGGAGGAAGGCGGUGAGGUUAAUAACCUCAUCGAUUGACGUUACCCGCAGAAGAAGCACCGGCUAACUCCGUGCCAGCAGCCGCGGUAAUACGGAGGGUGCAAGCGUUAAUCGGAAUUACUGGGCGUAAAGCGCACGCAGGCGGUCUGUCAAGUCGGAUGUGAAAUCCCCGGGCUCAACCUGGGAACUGCAUUCGAAACUGGCAGGCUAGAGUCUUGUAGAGGGGGGUAGAAUUCCAGGUGUAGCGGUGAAAUGCGUAGAGAUCUGGAGGAAUACCGGUGGCGAAGGCGGCCCCCUGGACAAAGACUGACGCUCAGGUGCGAAAGCGUGGGGAGCAAACAGGAUUAGAUACACUGGUAGUCCACGCUGUAAACGAUGUCGAUUUGGAGGUUGUGCCCUUGAGGCGUGGCUUCCGGAGCUAACGCGUUAAAUCGACCGCCUGGGGAGUACGGCCGCAAGGUUAAAACUCAAAUGAAUUGACGGGGGCCCGCACAAGCGGUGGAGCAUGUGGUUUAAUUCGAUGCAACGCGAAGAACCUUACCUGGUCUUGACAUCCACAGAACUUAGCAGAGAUGCUUUGGUGCCUUCGGGAACUGUGAGACAGGUGCUGCAUGGCUGUCGUCAGCUCGUGUUGUGAAAUGUUGGGUUAAGUCCCGCAACGAGCGCAACCCUUAUCCUUUGUUGCCAGCGGUCCGGCCGGGAACUCAAAGGAGACUGCCAGUGAUAAACUGGAGGAAGGUGGGGAUGACGUCAAGUCAUCAUGGCCCUUACGACCAGGGCUACACACGUGCUACAAUGGCAUAUACAAAGAGAAGCGACCUCGCGAGAGCAAGCGGACCUCAUAAAGUAUGUCGUAGUCCGGAUUGGAGUCUGCAACUCGACUCCAUGAAGUCGGAAUCGCUAGUAAUCGUAGAUCAGAAUGCUACGGUGAAUACGUUCCCGGGCCUUGUACACACCGCCCGUCACACCAUGGGAGUGGGUUGCAAAAGAAGUAGGUAGCUUAACCUUCGGGAGGGCGCUUACCACUUUGUGAUUCAUGACUGGGGUGAAGUCGUAACAAGGUAGCCGUAG
rnacentral:rRNA from 1 species